rnacentral:rRNA from 1 species
AGUGAACGCUGGCGGUAGGCCUAAUACAUGCAAGUCGAACGGCCGCAUAGUAAGCGCUCUCCUUUACGGGUGGCGACUGACGGAUGGGUGAGACAUACAUAGCCAUCUUCUUUUACUUGGGGGAUACCGUAGGGCCACUUCCGCUACUACCGCAUAUGUCCUACGGGUUAAUGCUGGAGUUCUUCGGACCUUUCCUGUCUCUUUGAGAUGAUGUCGGAUUAGCUAGUUGGCGGGGUAAAGGCCCACCAAGGCGACGAUCCGUAGCUGAGCUGAGAGGAUGAUCAGCCACACUGGAACUGAGACACGGUCCAGACUCCUACGGGAGGCAGCAGUGGGGAAUAUUGGACAAUGGGCGCAAGCCUGAUCCAGCCAUACCGCGUGAGUGAAGAAGGCCUUCGGGUUGUAAAGCCCUGUUAUUAGGAAAGAAAAGCAGCAGGUGAAAACCCCGCUGUUCUGACGGUACCCAAAGAGUAAGCACCGGCUAACUUCGUG